GUCCACGCCCUAAACAAUGCACACUAGAUAUUGGCAGUAUCGACCCUGUCAGUGUCGCUUAAAAAGUUAACACAUUAAGUGUGCCGCCUGGGGAGUACGGCCGCAAGGCUAAAAACUCAAAGGAAUAGACGGGGACCCGCACAAGCGGUGGAUUAUGUGGUUUAAUUCGACGAUAAACGAGGAACCUUACCUGGGCUCAACUACUAGCUGCAUAUAACCAGAAAUGGAUAUAGCCUUCGAGGGUGCUAGAUAGGUGCUGCAUGGUUGCCGU
rnacentral:rRNA from 1 species